CACCCAACGCCCCGUCUCCCUCGCUCGCACCUCGCCGCCGGCCACGGCCUCCGCCAUCUCCCCCACAGCCGCCGCUCCCCUCCCCUCAUCAAUCAGCAGACAAGAGAAGAGGGAGAUCGAGGGAGCAGGUCAAGCGGCGGCCAUGGCCCAUGGUGCUCCUGGUCCGAGAUCCAUCUACCACGGUCGUCAGGGGAGCACAAUCGACUGCUCGCGAGGAGACGGCUGCCCGCUCACCUCCGUGCCAGCCCUAUCUUCCACACCUGGCACCUCACCUCGGGCGGCGGAUUGGAUUCCCGCCGUCGUCAAGUGGAUCGACGGAGAUGCUCCUCCGUAUGCUUCUGCUCCCCCAUUGCCCAUGCCGUGGAGCUGGAGCUUCUGCUCUCCCGGGUCGCCCCUCUUCCCCUAGUGCAGGUACUGUCUCACCCAUCUUCUCGUCUUCGAUUUGCUUCCCUUCCCUUCAUGAUACGUUCCCCUCCACUCGUCUCGAUUUCUUCCAUCCGUCCGGCCAUUGCUGCCACCUCCCAUCCUCCAUCUGCCUCCUCCUCCCCGGCGAGCUCGCCAGGCACGCCGUCUCCGAGGGCAGGCCAUUACCAAGUUCGCCUCCUCGUAGGCUAGCUGCUCUUGUGUCUUCUCAUAAUGUGUUGAUUUCUCCUGGCUGUUUGAAGAAUCCAUUGUACGCUCUAGUUAGAUAUUUGGACUGCAUCAACCUGUAUCUCCACUACUAGUAAAAGAGCAAACUUGAAUUACCCUAUAGCCACACCAACUAAUGUACACAGGAUUACCAGAAACGUCCGAUCAACCCACCUAAAUCACAUCUAACAAUCCAAAUUACAUCAAGGGGUCGGCCGUAUAAACCAACGCGCCAGAUUGAAUGUUCUGCCGGCAGACUACGUCCUGUCCGGCUGCCCCACGACCAAACCUCGACCACCUCCACCGAAUCUCCACUAAUUGCGCCACUGCCACACCGAGAUUUCCUCUCUCUCCCUCCCGGUUUCCCCUCUGGUCUCUCUCUCUCUCUUCCCCGAACGCGCAACAGCGCUAGGGAUUCGCCCUCCCACUAAAUCGAGAUUCAGAUCAUGGAGGGCGGCGUAGGAACUGUCGAAUCCUGCCACCCCCAGAAUCCUUCUUCCUCUCCUUCCCUUCUUUAUGCCCAACACAUGUACACCCACCUGUAGCAGCUCCUCUAUUCUUCGCAUGUUCAAUUGCUCCUCUACUCUUUCCCUCUGUGUGUGCUUUUCUUUGUAUCUCUACUCAGGACAACGGCGACUAGGCGGACCGGCGACUGGCGGGGCGACGGAAAAGGGUGGGCGACGCCGUGACAAGAUGAGGGCAUGAGGCGGAGAAACCGAGCGGACAAGCAACCGGCGCACCUACAGGUACAUCCAUACAGGUGAAUCGAUCGAUAUUUCUUUUUUUUAACAGGCACACGUACAUGGAAAAGGGAUCGAUUAAUCGAUCGAACCGAUAGCUGCUAGGCAGGCGUGGAUGCACGGUGUGCUGGCCGGUGUCCAGAUCCAGAUCUUACAGGUGCCCAGCCCAAAAAGCUGGACUAUGUAUAAGCACAAAAUUUACCUGCUCAAGCUUCCUUCUGUAACUCCUACAUUGGUGUUUAUGAUAACUAUGGAGCUAUGACUAAAAAUCCUAUGGAGUUAUGAUCCAAAAAAGAACUGUGGAGUUGUGUGCAAAGAAAGAGAAGGACAUAAUGUUUCUCAAUUUUCCCUUUGUAUCAGUAUAUGUUUCACAUUAUAUCAUAGGCACAAUUAGUUGAGCUCUCAAGCAGAACUUUUCCAGUAUGACUACACUUACAAUGCCUUGUGAGAAUUUUGUAGAAGGAAAUAUUUCGCCCAUGAAAACCUGAGACUAACUAGCCACGGUGUCUACAUUUUAUCA